GGCUUAACACAUGCAAGUCGAGGGGCAGCACAGGGUAGCAAUACUUGGGUGGCGACCGGCGCACGGGUGAGUAACGCGUAUGCAACUUACCUAUCAGAGGGGGAUAGCCCGGCGAAAGUCGGAUUAAUACCCCAUGAAACAGGGGUCCCGCAUGGGAAUAUUUGUUAAAGAUUCAUCGCUGAUAGAUAGGCAUGCGUUCCAUUAGGCAGUUGGCGGGGUAACGGCCCACCAAACCGACGAUGGAUAGGGGUUCUGAGAGGAAGGUCCCCCACAUUGGUACUGAGACACGGACCAAACUCCUACGGGAGGCAGCAGUGAGGAAUAUUGGUCAAUGGCCGAGAGGCUGAACCAGCCGAGUCGCGUGAAGGAAGAAGGAUCUAUGGUUUGUAAACUUCUUUUAUAGGGGAAUAAAGUGGAGGACGUGUCCUUUUUUGUAUGUACCCUAUGAAUAAGCAUCGGCUAACUCCGUGCCAGCAGCCGCGGUAAUACGGAGGAUGCGAGCGUUAUCCGGAUUUAUUGGGUUUAAAGGGUGCGUAGGUGGUGAUUUAAGUCAGCGGUGAAAGUUUGUGGCUCAACCAUAAAAUUGCCGUUGAAACUGGGUUACUUGAGUGUGUUUGAGGUAGGCGGAAUGCGUGGUGUAGCGGUGAAAUGCAUAGAUAUCACGCAGAACUCCGAUUGCGAAGGCAGCUUACUAAACCAUAACUGACACUGAAGCACGAAAGCGUGGGGAUCAAACAGGAUUAGAUACCCUGGUAGUCCACGCAGUAAACGAUGAUUACUAGGAGUUUGCGAUACAAUGUAAGCUCUACAGCGAAAGCGUUAAGUAAUCCACCUGGGGAGUACGCCGGCAACGGUGAAACUCAAAGGAAUUGACGGGGGCCCGCACAAGCGGAGGAACAUGUGGUUUAAUUCGAUGAUACGCGAGGAACCUUACCCGGGUUUGAACGUAGUCUGACCGGAGUGGAAACACUUUUUCUAGCAAUAGCAGAUUACGAGGUGCUGCAUGGUUGUCGUCAGCUCGUGCCGUGAGGUGUCGGCUUAAGUUCCAUAACGAGCGCAACCCUUAUCACUAGUUACUAACAGGUGAAGCUGAGGACUCUGGUGAGUCUGCCAGGGUAAGCUGUGAGGAAGGUGGGGACGAUGUCAAAUCAGCACGGUCCUUACAUCCGGGGCAUACACACGUGUUACAAUGGCAUGGACAAAGGGCAGCUACC
rnacentral:rRNA from 1 species